UAAAGUUUGGCUUGUGGAGUUGACACUCUCUUGCUGCUGCCAUUUGCCACUGCAACUAGACUCCCGUCAUACAGGGUGACUGCUAGAAUAAUGUGUUCCACUCUUCAUGAAGGACACAGGUGACUGCGUGGCAUUUGAAGGACUUGUGACCUCCUAUUGAGUUGCUGGGCUGCAGACACUCUGCACUGGAGUGCCCCAUUUUAUCUUCCUGGGUUAUUGUGCUGCGGGGAGUAUUGAACACUCUUGCAAAGGACCAGGCCAGCCACUGUUUUAUUGUCAGUGUACAAGUCUUUUUUUAAUUUGUUUGUUGGUUGUUUUGUUUGCCUUUGGCUUGGUCCUUUUUUUUUUUGUCCUUGGUCUAGUGUAACCCUGCCUUGACCAAGCCAGCGUGGUGGUCAUUGUGUUGGGAGCUGGCUGUUCUCCUCUUUUUGUCUCUGUAUAGGUUCUCUGUACAAGGCCGGAUCUGCACCUCACUACUGCUCCUUUCAGUUGGGGGCUGCACGGAGGGGACACUAUUUUGGUGUGUACUGGUAACAUGCAACACGGUGUGGUAUUUUGUAGUGGUAAUUACUGACCUUGUGUAUGCAGUGUUUGCUAUGUUGCAUGCUUGUAUGGUGUUGGGUUUGUUGUGUCUGUCUCUCUCACCAGGGCCUCCUAGGAGAGGAGCUGUGGGUGCCGUGCCGACCCGACCUUAUUAGUUUGAGAAGCUCCAGCCAGUUUCCCUUCGUCUCUUUUUCACAUUAGCAAUUGUACCUAUUCAAAAUUGUAAUAAAUUUGAGCUUGUGUACA